rnacentral:rRNA from 1 species
GAUGAACGCUGGCGGCGUGCCUAAUACAUGCAAGUCGAGCGAACGGACGAGAAGCUUGCUUCUCUGAUGUUAGCGGCGGACGGGUGAGUAACACGUGGAUAACCUACCUAUAAGACUGGGAUAACUUCGGGAAACCGGAGCUAAUACCGGAUAAUAUUUUGAACCGCAUGGUUCAAAAGUGAAAGACGGUCUUGCUGUCACUUAUAGAUGGAUCCGCGCUGCAUUAGCUAGUUGGUAAGGUAACGGCUUACCAAGGCAACGAUGCAUAGCCGACCUGAGAGGGUGAUCGGCCACACUGGAACUGAGACGCGGUCCAGACUCCUACGGGAGGCAGCAGUAGGGAAUCUUCCGCAAUGGGCGACAGCCUGACGGAGCAGCGCCGCGUGAGUGAUGAAGGUCUUCGGAUCGUAAAACUCUGUUAUUAGGGAAGAACAUAUGUGUAAGUAACUGUGCACAUCUUGACGGUACCUAAUCAGAAAGCCACGGCUAACUACGUG